GCGAGCGGCGGAUGGGUGAGUAACACGUGGGGAACCUGCCCCUAAGUCUGGGAUACCAUUUGGAAACAGGUGCUAAUACCGGAUAAUAAAGCAGAUCGCAUGAUCAGCUUUUGAAAGGCGGCGUAAGCUGUCGCUAAGGGAUGGCCCCGCGGUGCAUUAGCUAGUUGGUAAGGUAACGGCUUACCAAGGCGACGAUGCAUAGCCGAGUUGAGAGACUGAUCGGCCACAUUGGGACUGAGACACGGCCCAAACUCCUACGGGAGGCAGCAGUAGGGAAUCUUCCACAAUGGACGCAAGUCUGAUGGAGCAACGCCGCGUGAGUGAAGAAGGUUUUCGGAUCGUAAAGCUCUGUUGUUGGUGAAGAAGGAUAGAGGUAGUAACUGGCCUUUAUUUGACGGUAAUCAACCAGAAAGUCACGGCUAACUACGUGCCAGCAGCCGCGGUAAUACGUAGGUGGCAAGCGUUGUCCGGAUUUAUUGGGCGUAAAGCGAGCGCAGGCGGAAAAAUAAGUCUAAUGUGAAAGCCCUCGGCUUAACCGAGGAACUGCAUCGGAAACUGUUUUUCUUGAGUGCAGAAGAGGAGAGUGGAACUCCAUGUGUAGCGGUGGAAUGCGUAGAUAUAUGGAAGAACACCAGUGGCGAAGGCGGCUCUCUGGUCUGCAACUGACGCUGAGGCUCGAAAGCAUGGGUAGCGAACAGGAUUAGAUACCCUGGUAGUCCAUGCCGUAAAACGAUGAGUGCUAAGUGUUGGGAAGGUUUCCGCCCUCUCAGUGCUGCAGCUAACGCAUUAAGCACUCCGCC
rnacentral:rRNA from 1 species